UACGCAUGGUGCAAGCGUUAUCCGGAUUUACUGGGCGUAAAGGGAGCGCAGGCGGCGCGCCAAGUCUGAUGUGAAACCCCGGGGCUCAACCCCGGGCAUGCAUUGGAAACUGGCGGGCUGGAGUGCCGGAGAGGUAAGCGGAAUUCCUAGUGUAGCGGUGAAAUGCGUAGAUAUUAGGAGGAACACCAGUGGCGAAGGCGGCUUACUGGACGGCAACUGACGCUGAGGCUCGAAAGCGUGGGGAGCAAACAGG
rnacentral:rRNA from 1 species